rnacentral:rRNA from 1 species
UACGAAGGGGGCUAGCGUUGUUCGGAAUUACUGGGCGUAAAGCGCGUGUAGGCGGGUCUUUAAGUCAGGGGGUGAAAUGCCAGGGCUCAACCUUGGAACUGCCUUUGAUACUGGAGACCUUGAGUCCGGGAGAGGUGAGUGGAAUUCCUGGUGUAGCGGUGAAAUGCGCAGAUAUCAGGAGGAACACCGGUGGCGAAGGCGGGUCUCUGGGCCGAAACUGACGCUGAGGAGCGAAAGCGUGGGGAGCAAACAGG